GAGUUACUACUCCAAACCCAUUGUGAACCUUACCUAUGUUCUGUUGCCUCGGCGGCGUGGUCAGCGCCCCCUCUGAAAAGAGGACGAUGCCCUCCCGCCGGCAGCACCAAACUCUUUGAAUUUUACAGCGGAUUACAGUUCUGAUUUGAAAACAAAAAACAAGUUAAAACUUUCAACAACGGAUCUCUUGGUUCUGGCAUCGAUGAAGAACGCAGCGAAAUGCGAUAAGUAAUGUGAAUUGCAGAAUUCAGUGAAUCAUCGAAUCUUUGAACGCACAUUGCGCCCGGCAGUAAUCUGCCGGGCAUGCCUGUCCGAGCGUCAUUUCAACCCUCGAACCUCCGUUUCCUCAGGGAAGCUCAGGGUCGGUGUUGGGGCGCUACGGCGAGUCUUCGCGACCCUCCGUAGGCCCUGAAAUACAGUGGCGGUCCCGCCGCGGUUGCCUUCUGCGUAGUAAGUCUCUUUUGCAAGCUCGCAUUGGGUCCCGGCGGAGGCCUGCCGUCAAACCACCUAUAACUCCAGAUGGUUUGACCUCGGAUCAGGUAGGGUUACCCGCUGAACUUAAGCAUA
rnacentral:rRNA from 1 species